rnacentral:rRNA from 1 species
GGCGAACGCUGGCGGCGUGCUUAACACAUGCAAGUCGAACGGAAAGGCCCUGCUUUUGUGGGGUGCUCGAGUGGCGAACGGGUGAGUAACACGUGAGUAACCUGCCCUUGACUUUGGGAUAACUUCAGGAAACUGGGGCUAAUACCGGAUAGGAGCUCCUGCUGCAUGGUGGGGGUUGGAAAGUUUCGGCGGUUGGGGAUGGACUCGCGGCUUAUCAGCUUGUUGGUGGGGUAGUGGCUUACCAAGGCUUUGACGGGUAGCCGGCCUGAGGGGGUGACCGGCCACAAUGGGACUGAGAUACGGCCCAGACUCCUACGGGAGGCAGCAGUGGGGAAUAUUGCACAAUGGGCGGAAGCCUGAUGCAGCAACGCCGCGUGCGGGAUGACGGCCUUCGGGUUGUAAACCGCUUUCGCCUGUGACGAAGCGUGAGUGACGGUAAUGGGUAAAGAAGCACCGGCUAACUACGUG